rnacentral:rRNA from 1 species
UACGUAGGGUGCGAGCGUUAAUCGGAAUUACUGGGCGUAAAGGGCUCGUAGGCGGCCAACUAAGUCAGACGUGAAAUCCCUCGGCUUAACCGGGGAACUGCGUCUGAUACUGGAUGGCUUGAGAUUGGGAGAGGGAUGCGGAAUUCCAGGUGUAGCGGUGAAAUGCGUAGAUAUCUGGAGGAACACCGGUGGCGAAGGCGGCAUCCUGGACCAACACUGACGCUGAGUGAGCGAAAGCCAGGGGAGCAAACGGG